AAUGGGCGAAAGCCUGAUGCAGCAACGCCGCGUGAGUGAUGAAGGCCUUCGGGUCGUAAAGCUCUUUGAUCAGGGAUGAUAAUGACAGUACCUGAAAAACAAGCCACGGCUAACUACGUGCCAGCAGCCGCGGUAAUACGUAGGUGGCGAGCGUUGUCCGGAAUUACUGGGCGUAAAGGAUGCGUAGGUGGAUAUUUAAGUGGGAUGUGAAAUCCCCGGGCUCAACCCGGGAACUGCAUUCCAAACUGGGUAUCUAGAGUGCAGGAGAGGAAAGCGGAAUUCCUAGUGUAGCGGUGAAAUGCGUAGAUAUUAGGAGGAACACCAGUGGCGAAGGCGGCUUUCUGGACUGUAACUGACACUGAGGCAUGAAAGCGUGGGUAGCAAA
rnacentral:rRNA from 1 species